rnacentral:rRNA from 1 species
AUUGAACGCUGGCGGCGGGCCUAACACAUGCAAGUCGAGCGAGUGGCGGACGGGUGAGGACUACAUCGGAAUCUACUCUGUCGGGGGGGAUAACGUAGGGAGACGUACGCUAAUACCGCGUACGAUUGCAUGAGCGGAUGUCGGAUUAGCUAGUGGGUGGGGUAAAGGCCCACGAAGGCGACGAUCCGUGGCUGGGCUGAGAGGAUGAUCAGCCACACUGGAACUGAGACACGGUCCAGACUCCUACGGGAGGCAGCAGUGGGGAAUAUUGGACAAUGGGCGCAAGCCUGAUCCAGCCAUGCCGCGUGGGUGAAGAAGGCCUUCGGGUUGUAAAGCACUUUUGUUGGGAAAGCGGUACCCAAAGAAUAAGCACCGGCUAACUUCGUGCCAGCAGCCGCGGUAAUUC